rnacentral:rRNA from 1 species
GACGAACGCUGGCGGCGUGCUUAACACAUGCAAGUCGAACGGAAAGGCCCUGCUUUUGUGGGGUGCUCGAGUGGCGAACGGGUGAGUAACACGUGAGUAACCUGCCCUUGACUUUGGGAUAACUUCAGGAAACUGGGGCUAAUACCGGAUAGGAGCUCCUGCUGCAUGGUGGGGGUUGGAAAGUUUCGGCGGUUGGGGAUGGACUUGCGGCUUAUCAGCUUGUUGGUAGGGUAGUGGCUUACCAAGGCUUUGACGGGUAGCCGGCCUGAGAGGGUGACCGGCCACAUUGGGACUGAGAUACGGCCCAGACUCCUACGGGAGGCAGCAGUGGGGAAUAUUGCACAAUGGGCGGAAGCCUGAUGCAGCAACGCCGCGUGCGGGAUAACGGCCUUCGGGUUGUAAACCGCUUUCGCCUGUGACGAAGCGUGAGUGACGGUAAUGGGUAAAGAAGCACCGGCUAACUACGUG